rnacentral:piRNA from 1 species
UGAUUGUCUUGGGUACUAAGGUCAAAGUC